GACGUAGGGCGCGAGCGUUGUCCGGAUUUAUUGGGCGUAAAGAGCUCGUAGGCGGCUUGUCGCGUCGACUGUGAAAACCCGAGGCUCAACUUCGGGCUUGCAGUCGAUACGGGCAGGCUAGAGUUCGGUAGGGGGAGACUGGAAUUCCUGGUGUAGCGGUGAAAAUGCGCAGAUAUCAGGAGGAACACCGAUGGCGAAGGCAGGUCUCUGGGCCGAUACUGACGCUGAGGAGCGAAAGCAUGGGGGAGCGAACAGG
rnacentral:rRNA from 1 species